CCAGUACAUCCAGUGAGGUUCCACUCUCACAGCAACGGCCUGCCUUUUAUGUGGGUACUUAGGAUCCACUAAGGUCCUGGUGCUCACAUGGCAGACGCUUUACUGGUGGGAGGACUUAUUAGAAAAAUAGCUGAAGCCCAACACCACCCUCUUGAAAUAUGUGGCUGGUGGUUUAGUUACUUGUUCGAUUCCCAUGUCAGAAUACUGACAAAAGCAACUAAGGGAGAAGGGAUUUAUUUCCGGUCACAAUUCAAGGUUAUAGUUCCCCAUCUAGGGGAAGUCGGAGGUCGAAACUCCUGAUAGCUGGUCAUGUUGUAGCCAGUGUGGAACAGCAGUGCGCAUGUGUCCUUUUCUCCACACAGUGCAGGAUUCCAGCCAGGCAAUGGUCCUGUCCACAGUGGCUGGGUCUUCCCACCUCCGUGCCAUCAAGACAGCCCCCAACAGGUGUGUCAGAGGCCCGUCUCCUAGGUGAUUAUAACUUCCGUGCAGCUGACAAUUAACUCUGGCCCUCACAGCUGGCCACAUGCCUGGUGCCUGUCCGGGACUCUCCCUGGUGUGGUGCUGUGCUUGUUCACCUGUGAGACUGUUCCCUCAGCUCGCGCCAAGCACCAUCCACUGCCUACUUCCGGCCAGCCGUAACCACCUUUUAUAUGUCCCCUUCCCCCAACGGUCCACACCUCAUCUAUGGUGGCUCAAGGCUCCUCAGGAGAUCCUCUCUGCGAAAUCCCUGCUUGUGAACCUUUGAUGGGUGAAGCUGCAGCGACAAGAGAUGCCCACCAGGAGGAGCCAGUGCAUAAGAAGAUGCUGAACGCCUGUACAGUGACUCCCGCCUGAGGGAAGUCUCCUGCCCACUAGGAUUACACAAGGAGUUCCAGGCCGACUUGGGCUACAAAGGAGGAGAUAACUCAGUGGCUAAGAUUGUUGCUGCUCUUGCAGAGAACCUGAGUUGGGUUUCUAGUAUCCAUGUCUACUGGCUCAGGGUCGGUUCUAACUUCCGUUCCAGGGAAUCUCAGGUGCUCUUCCCACCUCUGAGCGGAAAUUUGCAUACAUGUGGUGCACACACGCACACAUACACACAUAAAUAAAAAGUAAUCUUUUGCUGGGC